rnacentral:misc_RNA from 1 species
GAUGAAGAACGCAGCGAAAUGCGAUACGUAAUGUGAAUUGCAGAAUUCAGUGAAUCAUCGAAUCUUUGAACGCACAUUGCGCCCGCCAGCACUCUGGCGGGCAUGCCUGUUCGAGCGUCAUUUCAACCAUCAAGCCCCAGGCUUGCGUUGGAGCCCUGCGGCUGCCGCAUCCCCCUAAAAGCAGUGGCGGGCUCGCUAUCACACCGAGUGCAGUAGAUUACUCUUCGCUCAGGGCGUGCAGCGGGUUCCGGCCGUGAAACCCCCUACUUUUAAAGGUUGACCUCGGAUCAGGUAGGAAUACCCGCUGAACUUAAGCAUAUCAAUAAGCGGAGGA